UACGGAGGGUGCGAGCGUUGUCCGGAAUCACUGGGCGUAAAGGGCGCGUAGGCGGCCUGAUAAGUAGGGGGUGAAAUCCUGCGGCUUAACCGCAGGGCUGCCUUCUAAACUGUCAGGCUAGAGCACAGUAGAGGCAGGUGGAAUUUCCGGUGUAGCGGUGGAAUGCGUAGAGAUCGGGAAGAACAUCAGUGGCGAAGGCGGCCUGCUGGGCUGUUGCUGACGCUGAGGCGCGACAGCGUGGGGAGCAAACAGG
rnacentral:rRNA from 1 species